rnacentral:lncRNA from 1 species
UUUCUAAACCAGAUGUGAUCUCCUUACUGGAGCAAGAGAAAGACCCUUGGGUGAUAAAAGGAGGGAUGAACAGAGGCCUGUGCCCAGCACCACCAAAUGCUGGCCUCUACCACCACCAAAUUUACUUGUUGAAGUCCUAAACCCCAACAUGACUGUAUUUGGACAUAAGGCCUUUAAGAAACUAAGGUUAAGUUAGGCCAUAAGAGUGAGGCCCUAAUCCCAUAGGACUAGUGUCCUUAUAAGAGGAAGAGACACCAGAGGUUUGUCUCUCCACAUGUGCACAGAGGAAAUGCUGUGUAAGGACACAACAAGAAUGCUGCCAUCUGCAAGCCAGGAGGAGAGACCUCACCAGGAACCAGCCCUGCCAGCACCUUGAUCUUGGACUUUUAAUCUCCAGGACUGUGAGAAAAUAAAUGUUGGUUGUUUAAGCCAC